rnacentral:sRNA from 1 species
GCUGGAAUUUACUGGGUUCAUCUGAUCGACCACUUCUGUGCUGGAUGGGGCAUUUUAAUUGCAGCUAUACUGGAGCUAGUUGGAAUCAUCUGGAUUUAUGGAGGGAACAGAUUCAUUGAGGAUAUAGAAAUGAUGAUUGGAGCAAAGAGGUGGAUAUUCUGGCUGUGGUGGAGAGCUUGCUGGUUUGUAAUUACACCUAUCCUUUUGAUUCGCCUUAUAAGUUGCUGCAGACCAGCUUCUAACUGGGGUCCAUACCUGGAACAAUAUCGUGGGGAAAGAUAUGAAGGCAUGGUAGAUCCCAAAAAAGAGGCUGACCAUGAAAUACCUACUGUCAGUGGCAGCAG